AAGUUUUCUACCAUAAAUAUGCAUUUAACAUUUUAUUUAGAAAAUUAUAGUCUGUAAAUAUGAUCAUAUCUAGGUUUUGCUUAUUUUCUAUUUUAUUUUAGUAGAAAUUUCUUCUUUAAAAGCCGGGCUUUGUCUGCAUCUGUGGUGGUCUAAGAACAAAAGGGGCUACUUCCUGUUCGAGAGAGUGAGCCCAGAAAGCAUUGACUGGGCAAGGACUGCACCUGGCCCAACUGUGGAGCCUCAGGAAGGGGCCCUCAUGGUGGCAGACGCAGAGGGCUGCACCAGGGUGGGUACCUGGGCAGGCUGAGGCCUCCUCUCUACCUGGUGCGGCUUCCUGCAUAGGUCUGAACACUGCUCAGACCAAAGCCACCCUGGCCCAGAGCUGGGGUCUGACCAGACAUCUCUCCCUGGACCCCACGUGGAAAUAUGCAACUCCUUCUUAGCAGCUGCAUGUCUUCCAAGGAAUAGGAGGGACACUAUGCUUAAGUUCCAGAAACUGAAGCAGGACUCAAAGAAGCAGGCCAGCUCUGCUCUGCCGCCAAAGUGUUUAUUAGAGAUAACAGAUGGACUCCAUGGACACGCAGGUUCAUUCCGUCGACGUUCACCACGAGCCUUCCACUGCUGAGGUUGCAAGAUGAGCACCCUCAAUGGAGAGAAUGAAGAAUGGAUCGUGACCAGCUCCACCAGAAACAUGCCAAACUGGAAACUAGUUUGUCAUGGGGAUUGACAAAAUGCCAAUCAAACUCACAAGGGAUGGCAAGACUAUUCAAUAUAGACACUAGACUGUUAGCAUUUGAAAGAGUCGCUGGCAUUAUAGAGGGGACCAUGAGCCAAGAGGAGCGACUUUCUCCAUGUCACACACUAGUUAAUGCCAACGGUAGAAUGAGAACCCAGAAACCCUAACUCUCAAAUCAGUACUUUUUCUACUACCCUUUGCUGUCAAAUCUCAAUGAUAACUAGAAUAUGUGUGUGAGAUGUUCAAUAUAUUCUUUUUUUCAGAAAAGAAGGCUACUUGGGGAAAUAAUGUCAUUAAUAGAAAGUUUUUGGAAUGUGCAGAGGGCCAGUCCAGGGUAUGUGCUGGAGAGAAAUAGAUGAAGCUAAAAUCAGAGUUGCAAGGAGCCAUGCUGGGAAAUCAACCCAGAGGGACACUUUGCUCCCCGUAGUGGGAGUGAGGAAGACUGGAACAGCCGGGACAGUCAGCAGCUGUAUGGAUGGUCAAUGAAGGAAAGAAGUGGGGCUCCAAGAGGAACCUACGUCCCUGAAUUAGACGUGGAACUAUUCUGAGAAAGGACAGAGAAACCCACAGAGGGAAAAGUUAAUCCCUGCUUAACUGUUCUUUGUUUCUGGACACAAGCUGAAGCAAGUAAGAAGAAUUUCUACCCCAGAGCCCCCAGUGAGAAAGGGCUGGUCAGUUGAUUCAUUUAACCUACUGCCAGCUCCACAGAGGAGACUUGCAGGGAAUUAAAGGGACACUGCCAUUUUAUGGGGGGGAAAGCCCAGCUACCAGAAUGAAGCUGCAAUUGUGUGCGUUCCCAGAUCCUGAACAACAGAGCUGCGAAGCAAGAUGAUGAAAAGGCACAGUCACCCACUCAUGGGCUAUCUGAGGCUGGACUUGAGCAGUUCUAGAGGCCCACACGAAGAGAGGACUAGCAGAUAAAAGGAUACGGUGCCGGCACGCCCACCACUGAGGAAGCGGCAGAAGAAACCAAAGCAAUGUCCUGACUAAUACACAGUCUGAGGGAACAGCAAAGUGCUUCUGCAAAUCUUCUUAACUGCAUUUCAUCUUCCCAAGAACCCAGUAAGUAGGAGAUUAUGAUCAUUAUUUUAGUGUCACAGAAACUGAUGCUGAGAAGGACGUUGUCUCGUCCAAGGUCACACAGUGGCAGAGCCUGAGACUCAGAACUCAAGGCUGCUUCAUGCCCAUCCAGGAGCAUCCACCAUGCCACGCCGCCUCUAUUUUUCUAGGCUGGCUUUAGUUGCUUCCUCCAUUAGUGAGAUGAGUUUUCACCAAACCAUCCUGUCGCUCAGGCCUCAACGCAGUGGCGCCACCUUGGCUCGCCGCAAGCUCCGCCUCCGGGUUCCCGCCAUUCU